rnacentral:rRNA from 1 species
CAGCAGCCGCGGGAAUACGAAGGGUGCAAGCGUUACUCGGAAUUACUGGGCGUAAAGCGUGCGUAGGUGGUGGUUUAAGUCCGUUGUGAAAGCCCUGGGCUCAACCUGGGAAUUGCAGUGGAUACUGGGUCACUAGAGUGUGGUAGAGGAUAGUGGAAUUUCCGGUGUAGCAGUGAAAUGCGUAGAGAUCGGAAGGAACACCUGUGGCGAAGGCGACUAUCUGGGCCAACACUGACACUGAGGCACGAAAGCGUGGGGAGCAAACAGGAUUAGAUACCCCUGUAGUCCCUGUCUCUUAUAU